rnacentral:rRNA from 1 species
CCUACGGGAGGCAGCAGUGGGGAAUUUUGGACAAUGGGCGCAAGCCUGAUCCAGCCAUGCCGCGUGCGGGAAGAAGGCCUUCGGGUUGUAAACCGCUUUUGUCAGGGAAGAAACGCUCUGGGCUAAUACCCUGGGGUAAUGACGGUACCUGAAGAAUAAGCACCGGCUAACUACGUGCCAGCAGCCGCGGUAAUACGUAGGGUGCAAGCGUUAAUCGGAAUUACUGGGCGUAAAGCGUGCGCAGGCGGUUGUGCAAGACAGAUGUGAAAUCCCCGGGCUUAACCUGGGAACUGCAUUUGUGACUGCACGGCUGGAGUGCGGCAGAGGGGGAUGGAAUUCCGCGUGUAGCAGUGAAAUGCGUAGAUAUGCGGAGGAACACCGAUGGCGAAGGCAAUCCCCUGGGCCUGCACUGACGCUCAUGCACGAAAGCGUGGGGAGCAAACAGGAUUAGAUACCCUGGUAGUCCACGCCCUAAACGAUGUCAACUGGUUGUUGGAGGGGUUCCCUUUCAGUAACGAAGCUAACGCGUGAAGUUGACCGCCUGGGGAGUACGGCCGCAAGGUUGAAACUCAAAUGAAUUUGACGG